rnacentral:rRNA from 1 species
CUGCGGAAGGAUCAUUACCGAGUGCGGGUCCUUUGGGCCCAACCUCCCAUCCGUGUCUAUUAUACCCUGUUGCUUCGGCGGGCCCGCCGCUUGUCGGCCGCCGGGGGGGCGCCUUUGCCCCCCGGGCCCGUGCCCGCCGGAGACCCCAACACGAACACUGUCUGAAAGCGUGCAGUCUGAGUUGAUUGAAUGCAAUCAGUUAAAACUUUCAACAAUGGAUCUCUUGGUUCCGGCAUCGAUGAAGAACGCAGCGAAAUGCGAUAACUAAUGUGAAUUGCAGAAUUCAGUGAAUCAUCGAGUCUUUGAACGCACAUUGCGCCCCCUGGUAUUCCGGGGGGCAUGCCUGUCCGAGCGUCAUUGCUGCCCUCAAGCCCGGCUUGUGUGUUGGGUCGCCGUCCCCCUCUCCGGGGGGACGGGCCCGAAAGGCAGCGGCGGCACCGCGUCCGAUCCUCGAGCGUAUGGGGCUUUGUCACAUGCUCUGUAGGAUUGGCCGGCGCCUGCCGACGUUUUCCAACCAUUUUUUCCAGGUUGACCUCGGAUCAGGUAGGGAUACCCGCUGAACUUAAGCAUAUCAAUAAGCGGAGGAAAAGAAACCAACCGGGAUUGCCUCAGUAACGGCGAGUGAAGCGGCAAGAGCUCAAAUUUGAAAGCUGGCUCCUUCGGAGUCCGCAUUGUAAUUUUGCAGAGGAUGCUUUUGGGGUGCGGCCCCCGUCUAAGUGCCCUGGAACGGG